UCAAAUAUUGGGUCCAGUAGGCUGUAAAGUAACCCUCUGGACCCAAGUCUAGAAGUGUAUUUCAAUUUGCAUUUGAUUAAUUAACAGUUUGAGGUAUAAAUAUUAAAGAGAGGUGCCUUCACAUCCUCAAAGUACUUUACAGCCAAUGUACUUUUGAACUGCAGUCACUGUUGGAUUAUUGGAAAUGGGGCAGUCAUUUACACACAGCAAAGGCUCAGACAAUAUUGAGAUGAUGACUAAAAGCCUUGUUCUAUUAAUGAUGAUCGAGGGAUGAAUAUUGACCAGUUGCCAGAGAGAACUUACCAAUUCUUCUUCAAAGUAGUGCCAUAGGAUAUCUUUACACUUAUUUAAGAGAGCAAAAUGUACUUUGGCUUAACAUCAUGUCCAAAAGAUGGCAACUCCUACACUGAAACAAUCUCUCAUUACUACACUGGAACAUCAGCCCCGAUUAUGUGCUCGAGUUACUGGAAUGGAGUUUGAACUCACAACCUCCCAGCUCAGAGUGGGGUUACACUUGCUGCCCUCCAAUCUGCCAGGACUGUUCCAGAAUCUACAGAAUUUGACAUAUAUUGUACUUGUGUACAGUUUUGAACGCUAUAUUAUAGAAAGGAUUUUGGAAUCACAGAAAACUUGGGUUCAUUAGAGCGAUGAUGAGAAAAAACUAAUAGUAUUCACUGGAACAAAGAAGACUAAGGAACAUUUAACAGAAGUGUUUAAAAUUGUGGAAGUGUUUGGCAGGAUUAAUUUGGGGCAUCUGAUGUUCAAGGCUAAACAGCGCAGCAAAAGCACAACCACUAAUAGUGGAGGAGUCAGCACUGUAUCCUUACAUGUGAGCACUUACUUGACAGAAGAUAGAGUUGUAUAAUAACAGGCAAAUUGACAAGACUCAUUCAGUUUGCAGCUAUCACACUCCCAAGGAGUAGUCUGCUAUGAAAUCAAUAGAUACCUUGGUGAGUCAGCUGUGGCUUACUUGGUAGCACUCUUGGCUCUGAAUCACAAGAUGUUGGGCUUGAGUCCCACUCUAGAGCUUAAGCACAAAAAUCAAGGCUGACAGAUGGACUGUUGGAGGAGCUGCCUUUUGGAUGAGAUGAUAAACUGAGACUCCAUUUGUUUGUGUGGUUGGAAAAGAUCCCACACCACUAUUUUAAAGAAUAGCAGGGGAUCUGCAUUGUCGUGGCUAACACUUAUUCCUCAAUGAACAUCAUCGAAACAGAUUAUCUUGCCAUUAUCACAUUGCUGUUUGUGGGUGUUUGCUGUGUACAAACUGGCUGCCAUUUCUACAUUCUGGCAGUGACUGCACUUCAAAAGUACUUCAUUGGCUGUAAAGUGCUUUGAGACAUCUGGUGAUUGUGAAUGGUGCUAUAUAUAUGCAAGUCUCCCUUUCUUCAUCAAGACAAGAAUGUUGGAGUUUGUGAAUCACUGUUGAGUUUGAGGAUGAGGGGCCAGGAGUGCAUUGGAAUAAUUGAGCUUUGAAGUUAUAAAAUAUAAGGGUUUCAGAAACAGAGGGGUUGAUAUACAGCUGAAGAUGGGUAAUGUUGUGUUGGUGGAAGUACUGCCACUUGGAAAUAUUGACUAGAAUGUAGAAUUUGAAGCUCAGCUCAGGGCCAAACAGGAUGCAAAGUUUGGUUUAUUUUGAGUAGGUGACUGCAGAGGGAAAUAGAAUGAGUAGUACAUAAGUGCAAUUUACUAUGGGCAUUGAGAACGAUGGCUUUAAUUUUCCCAACAUUAACUUGGAAGAAGCUGUGGCUCAUCCACAACAUGAUGUCAAGCAAGUAUUCUGACUUGACAGAUAAAACAUUAAUUCCUCUGAGAAGGCAGUACAAGGAAUCAUUUAGUCUGGUGUGUGAACAUCAGUUAAUUCUGGUGAUCUCUGUAUCAGCCCACAGCCUUAAUUGCACAAUAAUAUGUGUGUGGGACUCCUUCCUUAAUAUCACAACACAUAUUAUACACUGGCAACUUUUUGCCCUGAAUGCAAUGUAGAAUCAAAUAGUGACAGAGGUCUAGUAUGUAAUAUUAUUUUCCACCUCACAUGUUAUGAACCAGUUUUUUGUUCAAUAAAUACAAUUGAUA